CCUAACUGCAAUAGUGAGAUCUUCCAAAGAAUAACUGGCCCAGCUCUCCGCCAAAGUAAGUCAGCACUGGAAAGGGCAAACAACGUUUCCACCUUCACUGAAGUCUUUAUCAAGCUUCGUAAAGGCCUCAAUGUAAGUUGAAUAGUUGGUUGGCUGUUUGGUUCUAAUUGUUGGUGUGCCGAUUUGUUGAUAAGUCUGGAACCAUUUAGUCUUUGGAAGAUCUCACUAGGGUUGAAACUAAACUUGCAGUUAGGAUAGUCUUUGUAAUUCCUACUGCUUUAGCAUAGAUCUAAAAAAUAAACACAAUCCCCACGGAGGUCAGAAAUGGGAACCAAGAGAGUCUGUUGCAUUUAAUUAGUGUACCUCGUUUCUUAAUUUUAACUCGCAGGGAAAUACUGUAACUUUUGGCUUCACACUACAUUAUUCACGUUUACAACUUCCCUCCUAUAACGCCAAAAAUCCUUACUGCCACCAUUUGUGAUUUAAAAUGUACUAUGAAUAGUAAAUAUAUAAAACAGUAAAAUAUGUAACAUAUCCAUGCUACAGUAACAUAUGAGACAGAAGCAAAAAAUAAACCACAGCAUUGCAAAUAAAUUAAAAAUUUAAAUCCCUUUGUCAGUAAGAUAUUAAAUGCAAGAGAUUGGGGUGGAAACAUGCAUUGUAUUUCUAACUAUUAAAAAAUGAAUAAAAAUUACAGUCCCUGUGUGUGAGGAGGUUGAAUUGAUUGGAGUGUUGGUGGAGAAAUUAAUUUCUCAUCUCAGUGAG